GACUUUGCCACGCUAAAUUACAAUUUGCCCUAACGUGUCGGUUGAAUUACUUCAUGCAAACACUUGUAAGCCUCUCCUGCCAUUGCCAUUCGAGUCAACAACCUUUUCUCUUCUAUAUAAACUCAAAUCUGAUCCGUCGCAUACUGCACAAAAUCUUAAGUUAGAAGAGCUAGUUGAAUUGCUAUUGAAAAUAUUCGAUAGUGUUGUGGUUGAUUUUAGAGUUGCAAAUUAAGAGAAAGAAAUGGCCCAGUACAAGGACGAAUAUGGCAGAGAAAUUCGUCAGACAGAUGAAUAUGGCAAUCCUAUCCGCC
rnacentral:lncRNA from 1 species